AAAGAAAAAACUUCUUGAGAUAUUAGUUUUAAGAGAAGUGCCAGCCAGGUGCGGUGGCUAACACCUGUAAUCCCAGCACUUUGGGAGGCCAAGGUGGGCAGAUUGCCUGAGCUCAGGAGUUCAAGACCAGCCUGGCCAACAUGGCGAAACCCCAUCUCUACUAAGUAAUACAAAAAUUAGCCAGGCGUAGUGGCGGGUGCCUGUAAUCCCAGCUACUCGGGAGGCUGAGGCAGGGAGAAUUGCUCAAACCCGGGAGGCAAAGGGUGCAGUGAGCCAAGAUCACGCCACUGUACUCCAGCCAGGGUGACAGAGUGAGACUCCAUUUAAAAAUAAAAA
rnacentral:lncRNA from 10 species